rnacentral:rRNA from 1 species
CUACGGGUGGCUCCAGUGAGGAAUAUUGCACAAUGGGGGGAACCCUGAUGCAGCAACGCCGCGUGGAGGAUGACGCAUUUCGGUGUGUAAACUCCUUUUAUAUGUCAAGAAAAUGACGGUAGCAUAUGAAUAAGCACCGGCUAACUCCGUGCCGGCAGGCCGCGGUAAUACGGAGGGUGCAAGCGUUACUCGGAAUCACUGGGCGUAAAGGACGCGUAGGCGGGUUGGAAAGUCAGGUGUGAAAUCCUACAGCUUAACUGUAGAACUGCACUUGAAACUUCUAAUCUAGAGUAUGGGAGGGGGAGAUGGAAUUAGUGGUGUAGGGGUAAAAUCCGUAGAUAUCACUAGGAAUACCUAAAGCGAAGGCGAUCUCCUGGAACAUUACUGACGCUAAGGCGUGAAAGCGUGGGGAGCAAACAGGAUUAGAUACCCCGGUAGUC